rnacentral:lncRNA from 1 species
CCAGGAGAGAUGCAGUCCAUGUGGAGAUGCAAUGAACUUGUGCUGCAGAGCUGCUGGGAUGGAAUACUCAACAUUUGGAUUUUGGGUUUUGAAGAUUAUUCAUUUCCUUACAGUUCUGUAAUUUUUAUUCACCAAUGAAGAAAAACAAAAUGAUGACAUUUGCAGGAGGAAGAUCUCACUACCAAGAGUUCUGCAAAGCAUGCAGGGAGAACAAAAAAGGCAGCUAGAUUAACUCGCCAAGAUCCCUGGACCCAAAGUCGUCACUUCUCACUGCCUCUCUGUAGAGAGAGGGUUGCUUCUGACAGCCCACCCACGCACAACAAAAUGUCUCAUUGCUCUGUGGGCUCCGUGCAUUGGCAUCACAUCCCCUCAUGCCUGGAAUCUGAACCACCGCCAGGACAUUCCUGAGUGACAGCUCCCAUGAACUAAUUAUUAAUGUUCUUGGCACUGAGGCUGGGUGGGCAUUUAUUCCCAUUACUCAGGGCUGGUGAUAGAUGGGGAUUUGCACAGGCUGCAUAAUUUCUUCAUGUCUCCAUAAGUCUCUGCCUUCUGCUGGCAUUUUAAGGAAUGUAUUUUUACAGAAGUUGGCACUAUUCAGUAAUUUUCCAGGAGGGCACAUUGCCCAGGCCAGAUGGACAUAUUUUUUUUUCUGGUUCCAGCUGGUAAGUCCUGUUUGAUAAGAUCCUAUCCCAUCCUACUUGAACAAGGAUGCACAAUUUGCUUGCAAGUUGGGUAGUGAAAAAUGACCCUAGUGGCAGGUUGUGACAGAGGGCUGAGGUGGGAGGGCCACCCUGGGAACUACAACUAUUGCCAGAGUCAGAAGCUCCACAAUCACAAACCUGAUGAGUGCCAAGGAAGGGCAUUUCUGUUUGAGCAUACAUUGUGGGGCAGGCUGUCUUGAAGCCCUAAAGAGUUUCUCCUUUAUAGCAUUGAUAUCUCUGUUCCUCUCUGAAUCUUUCCAUGGUUAGACAGAGAAUCCUGACAUGGUCAAGACAUCACUACAGUGUCCAAUUUUACUGCAAUAUGGGAUCCUUUGCUAUCUGUCAUACAGAGCAGGUGUCAGCUCAGGUCUCCUUGCACAUCAUCCUCAGCAGGAGAGUGCACACCAAGCAGGCAGGUCGCAUACCACUCUGGACAUGGUGCCCAGUGCAUGGCAAAGACCUCCUGGAAGAUAGUCCUUGGGCUCUACAUAUGGCUUCGCUUCUCUCACUUUUUGAUAAGCACGAGUCUAGAGGGACUGAGUCCAGGCAGCACUUUCGAAGAAAGCCACUUUACCUAAGAAGUAGUGCUGGGCACACCUUUGAUCCCGACACUUGAGAAGCAGAGGCAGGCAGACUGAGUUCAAGGCCAGCCAGGUCUCCAGAGUGAGUUCCAGAACAUCCAAGGUUACACAGAGAAACCCUGUCUGGAAAAAGCAUUGGGGAAAGGGGGGAGUAAUGGCACCAUCAGUGAAUAAACACACCUGACUUGUCUCUCCUUUCCUUCUCUGUAAUUGGGCAUAAUUUUACAUCUGUUGAAUGUUGAUCACUUUUAUAUCUUCUCCCCAUCUGUUUCUCUUUCUGAUCUGGAGUCUGUGUGUGUAAGAAAGUGGCCCCUCUCUGAAUUCUCUCUACUCACGCAUCUCAUGUUUUCCUUCUGGUGAGGAUCCUACGGCUGCACUCUGCCUAGCCAUCUCUCUUGCUACAACCUCUUCACUGUUUUCCUGCCUUCCACCUGCUACCACUAACAACAUGGUGGAAGCUUGACGAUCUUCACAUUCAUCGGGCAAUUAUUUUGACUUUUACUGGAAGACAACAACAGAAAAUUACUAAGAAACACGACUUGUUCCCAGUUAGCAGAUAUAAAAAUGAAAUGGAGUCAAGACUAAGUGGUGUGUUUGAGAUACGGCUCUGGGAAGGAAAAUCAGCUUGUGCUUUCUGAAACCUACCAAGGGAAAACAAAUUCAAUUCUGAGGAAGGCUUGAAAAAGGCUACUCAACCAAAGCAAGCAAAUGUUAGCACCAGCCAUAACAGGGGAAACAAUAAAUUAGACAAGAGGGAAACAGUCCAAUAAGAAAUAGGCAAAUUUUUGUUAACUACUCAGUAGAGAAGUAUAGAGAUGGCAAGGAGUCACAUGAAAGACACCAACAUCAGUAGAGUGAUUGAUAGGGAAGCAUAGGGAUGAACGACUCUUUACGCUGCUGGUUAGAACAAAAUAGGUCUCCCUCCUUGAGCAUAUUGUUGGAUAACUUCUAAACUGCCCACCAAAACGCUGGCGAUUCCAUUCCCAGGGACAUGUUCAAUUAAAUUGAAAACCUCUGUCUUUCGCUUUAUUUGUGUGUCUCUCUAGUGUUCCCGUCUAUCUUACUCCUCCCUAUGUCUCUUUUGCAGAGAGAGAGAGAGAGAGAGAGAGAGAAUAAAUGCUAGUAAUGACUUUAUUUAUAGUAAUCAAAAGUGGAAAAAAAAUCCAUUGCCCAGUGACUGAUAGACAAGCUAGUCAGUGCAUAAAACAGAACAUGACUCAACAACAAAAUGGGCAAACGUGUUAACAGCAAGAGCAGUGUGGAUGAAUUUCAAACAUCAUGUUAUACGAGAGGCAUCAAAUUCUAAGGGCUGUGAAUUUUGUAGUGCCCUUCACAUCAUAUUCUGGAUGCAGCAAAAUUAAAGGCUCAGAAAGAAGGCCAAUAACUGCCAAGGGUGGGAGUAGAGGACCAUGAAAGCUAUCAAGGAUGUUUGGGGAUAAAGAAAUUUUCACGUAUUGCAAAUUGCCAUGGAUAAUGAAGCUACAUACACUUGUCAAGAUUCAUACAGAUGCAACCCCCCCAAAAAAGAAUGAAUUUUAAUGUAGCAAUCAUGCUGUACCAGAUACCUUUAAAUUAUAGACAUAAUGGCGUUUGUAACAAAUACACUAUUUUAUAUUCAUUUUCCUCUGUCAGAUCCCUCUUAAAAAGGUCCUUUGUCCUAGAUGUUGCAUAGUAGCUCGGAAAUGUAGAGAAAAUAACUGUGGUCUUCACUCAUAUUGUGUGAGUCUUAGAAGGAAACACAGUAAAGGCAGACUUGGGAAAAUGGCUCUUGUUGAGAAGGAAGAGAGAUGAGACAGUCUUUUAACAAGGAUGGCAAGAGCAGAGGCCUGAAGAGCAAGUAGCUAGUUAGGGGGAGGUGUUCCCAAAUAAGAAACAGCAGCAGCUAGAAUAGAGCAGCAGCAAGGGUCUACGGGAAGAACACAUGUCCUCCUCCCUCACAGCUGCAGCCAGCUGGACAUCACCCGCCCAGCACCAACCCCUCGGAGAACUGAAAGCAGCUUGGUCCCCUGACCCACUUCUCUUGUAGCACAGAGAGCUAAGAAAUAUUUGAUGACUUUAUCCUCCCUCACAGAAACAUGGCAUGAAAAGUGCAGAAAAAAAUAGAAAUCAGACACCAUUAGGUAGACACCACUGUGACACUGGUGCAAGCCAAGAAACUUUGAUGGGGUGCAAAGGUUAAUGCACAAGCCUAUGAUGGGAAAUGGGGCAUUAGCAUGGUCACAAGUGCUUUCUCUUCCAACGUGUUAUCAAACGAAAGUAGCAACAACAAUGAAGGCACUCACCUUCCCAAGGAAAAGCCUCACAGACCUGAUGUGGGUCUGUGGGUUGCAAGCAGGCAUCCUUGAUCUGAUGGGCUGAAAGGGCAGAGUGUUAUUGCUGUGGCAGUCAUGUCAUUAUAGAUUGCCAUAGAAAGGGGGGAUUAAAACACAGUCAUUUCCUUUUCCAAGUCCUGCAUUCUGGGGACAUCAAGGACAAGAAGCAGUUGAUCUGAUGACUGGUGGGGUCAUGCUUCCUGCUUAGCCUACAGAUGGCCAGCUCCUAGCCAUGUUCUCACACGGUGACAAGUGAGGAGGUAGGAAACUAGCUCCCAUGUCUCUUCCUGUAAGGGCAUUGACUGUAUUCUCAGAUUUCCACCUCAUUGCAAAUUUACUUUCCAAAAUAUUCAACCUCCCCAAACCAUCAGAUUGUGCGUUAGAACUGCAUUAUGAGGGUUUGGCAGGGGGGAAAUACAAUGCAGCCUCUCAAAGCA